rnacentral:rRNA from 1 species
CCAAUAGCGUAUAUUAAAGUUGUUGCAGUUAAAAAGCUCGUAGUUGAAUUUCGGGAUCAAUACGUCGGUCGUGCUUAGGUACGUACUGGCGUAAUUGAUUUCUCCCUUCUGACGAACCAUGAUGUCAUUAACUUGGUGUCAUGGGAAAUCAGGACUGUUACUUUGAAAAAAUUAGAGUGUUUAAAGCAGGCUCAUGCUUGAAUACAUUAGCAUGGAAUAAUGAAAUAGGACGUUCGAUCCUAUUUUGUUGGUUUUUAGGAUCAACGUAAUGAUUAAUAGGGAUAGUUGGGGGCAUUAGUAUUCAAUUGUCAGAGGUGAAAUUCUUGGAUUUAUUGAAGACUAACUACUGCGAAAGCAUUUGCCAAGGAUGUUUUCAUUAAUCAAGAACGAAAGUUAGGGGAUCGAAGACGAUCAGAUACCGUCGUAGUCUUAACCACAAACUAUGCCGACUAGGGAUCGGAUGAUGUUAAUUUUUUAAUGACUCAUUCGGCGCCUUACG